GUCCACGCCCUAAACGAUGUCAACUAGUUGUCGGGAAGCAAUUCCUUGGUAACGCAGCUAACGCGUGAAGUUGACCGCCUGGGGAGUACGGUCGCAAGAUUAAACUCAAAGGAAUUGACGGGACCCGCACAAGCGGUGGAUGAUGUGGAUUAAUUCGAUGCAACGCGAAACCUUACCUACCCUUGACAUGUCCAGAACCCCGAUGAAGUUGGGGUGCCCGAAAGGGAAUUGGAACACAGGUGCUGCAUGGCUGUCGU
rnacentral:rRNA from 1 species